rnacentral:rRNA from 1 species
UACGUAGGGUGCGAGCGUUGUCCGGAAUUAUUGGGCGUAAAGAGCUUGUAGGUGGUUUGUCGCGUCUGCUGUGAAAAUCCGAGGCUCAACCUCGGACUUGCAGUGGGUACGGGCAGACUAGAGUGUGGUAGGGGAGACUGGAAUUCCUGGUGUAGCGGUGGAAUGCGCAGAUAUCAGGAGGAACACCAACGGCGAAGGCAGCUCGCUGGGACGGUACUGACGCUGAGACGCGAAAGCGUGGGGAGCGAACAGG